rnacentral:rRNA from 1 species
UACGUAGGGGGCGAGCGUUGUCCGGAUUUAUUGGGCGUAAAGAGCUCGUAGGCGGUUUGGUAAGUCGGGUGUGAAAUCUCCACGCUCAACGUGGAGGGGCCACUCGAUACUGCCAUGACUCGAGUCCGGUAGAGGAGUGUGGAAUUCCCGGUGUAGCGGUGAAAUGCGCAGAUAUCGGGAGGAACACCCGUAGCGAAGGCGGCACUCUGGGCCGGAACUGACGCUGAGACGCGAAAGCGUGGGGAGCGAACAGG